AAUAUGAAAUAAUUAUAUGAUUAUUAUUAUUUUGAAAACCUUAUUUAAAGUAUAUAUUUAUUUAUUAAAAAUAUUGACCCAAAAGUCUAUUUGAGACGAACUUGAGAAACUGAUAAACUAGUUCUAACUCAAAAUUUGGUUUCAAAAUGAACCCAAUCUCUUUCUAAAAAUUUAUAUCGCAUUUACAUCUGAACUUGAUCCAAUUUCUGAACUAAAAUCCUAAGUCUAGAAGUUGAAGUCUCAAAUGACCCAAAUGCCCUUCUUGACCAUUCAUUCCCUUCCAAAUAGUGACCUAGGGUUUUGAGCCUAUAAAUAGGCACUAUUCUAUUAUCUGAUGCAAUCCCUCCCUUGCUCUUCCUCUCAAGACAACACUCAGGAGACACCAUCAAGAAGAAGUGUUAUUAGGAGGUGAAGGAAGUGGCCAUAGUUGAAGAAGGAGGAGGUAUUCCUACUAGGAACUAGCAAUCUCAAGGAACCUACAUUUUGAAGGAUCCUGGUUGGACCAUGUCCCUUCGGCAGAAGCAAAUGAACGAUAUGAUGAUGAGAAAGUCCGAUAGAAAAAUACUGGACAAUUAUGAGAUUGAAGUAGCUUGGUAGAAAAAUCUUGGGCUACUAGGUUGGAUACUACUCGCUGGGCUUGGGAUCUCAGUUAGGGGAUGUGCACACUAAAGGGGUACCAGACCUGCUUCCAAAAUACGAGAUAAGUGGGAGAGCUGAGAUUAGGCCAGUAGAGAGUUAAUGAGCCCGGAUAGGAUCUUUCACACUUGGUGAAGUUCCUACCUCCCCACUUUUAUGAUGAAACUGAUAUGAGCUCCUCCAGUAUUACUAUUAUUACGAUACUAUGUUUUCUCG